AAUGUUUAAAUAUUAAGACAUUAAAAAUAUUAAUGUAGGCAUUGUAUAAAAAAGGCACUUAUGAUGAAAAUUCACAGACCUGUUCUGAGUAAUGAGGAACUAUUUAAAUAACUGAAACUACUAGAUAAUACGAAUGUAUAUAUAUGGUAGUUUCAAACAAAAAUUAAUAUAAAAAUAAUAUGUUGUUUUUUGCAGGUUAAUAAUGAGUUCUUGACAAGUUGAUGAGUGAAUUUAUAAUCAACCAAAAGACGUUAUUGCAGGAGCUCAUCAUGUCUCUAUCUAAGUUGCUGAUUACAUUUGGAAAGAUGCAGCAAGAAGCUAUCACUUGAAUAGUAACAACGAGAAUCCUCAAGAUCGCUUACAUGACGAACAGCUCAAGGAGAAAACAGAGGCUUUCAUUAUUAAGUCAUACAAAUGUGUUGUUGUAAUAAAACAUAUUGAAAAAAAA